UGAAUGUUGUUGCUCACAAAUUUCUCAGACCCCUUUCUGAGCAAGGUAACUUCGGUGUGUGGUACCUCCAUGGCAUUGUCACCGUCCAGUUAACUCUAUCCACAUUGCUGCUUGCCCUUUGAGCAAUGCUGAACCAUGUUGGAGUCUGUUUUGGGCUUAGCUGGCAAGCGAUGGCUGUCUGUCUGUGGAAGGACUCAUCCCCACUCUGCAGCAUCUCAUUUUAUUAUUUAAACACCAAGCAAGUAGCCAAUGUGCUAUGAGGCAGAUCUUGCCCUGGAAAGCCUUUAGUGCAUUUGUUUCUCUGCUUCUCUUGGCAGAGGGAAAAUUCCUGACCCUUCCACCCCAAAAGCUCUGCUGCUAGAGCUAUAGGAAAUCUUGUUUACUGACUGCUGUAUGGACUGUGAUAAAGCUGUAUCGUUACACAGUUUGGAUUCCUUUUCCUAGUGGGGUUUCAGUGCGUAUUUUUUUAGAGCUGGUUUGUUACAGUGCUGUGGUCAUUUCCUUUUUAGAAGUCAUUGGUAAUUUUUCAUAAUUCACCAUGCCUCGGCUGAGCCUCUCUUCGAGAUUUCUGUCUGGUUUAAGAGAGGAUUUUUCUCCAUAACAACCCCUUCUCCCCUUCUGCCACUGAUCCUGGGGUUUCCCUCAAUGGAUUUAAUAAAAAUGCUCUUCAGGCUUUUUAUCAGCUGAGAAAAAUGAGCCUGCCUUGCUGCGGCUCUGCAAACUUUCCAGCUGAUUUCGCGGCACUGCGACCAAUUCUCUCCUAACACCCUGUGAUGUUGGGGGCACAGCUUUGAAUUCACAGCAUGCCGAGAGCAACCAGGGGAUGGAGGGAAAAUUCCCAUGUAGAUCCUCAUCACCACGCCGAGGACACGCAAAUAAAUUGGAAGCAUGGCAUUGCGAUGCGCUGGCUGGAGCAGAUGGAGUCCCCACUGGCUUUCUGCUGGACAGAGCUGAAACUGCUCCAAACUGCACCGCGUGCCCUGCACCAAUGACUUCUGAUGGAUUUUUUCCUUUAGCCCAGAUAAUAGGUCUAUAAUUCUGUGCCUGAGCUCCGGCUCAAGGGAACAGCACAGGGCAAACUCUGGAUUUGCAGGCUGUUUCUCUAAACGGACCCUGUUCCAGAAUUUGCCCUUGUGAUGUACAGGUUGCCUGAUAGUCAUGUUUUCUGAUUUGGUGGGUUUUAGGAGGGGAUUUAGUGAUGUGGCUGCACUAGCUGAAGUCCAGUCAAUGAUUUAGUCCCAGAAAGGAUACUUAAGAAGUCAGUCCACUCGUGGACCUUGUCCAUCAUCUCAGGGAGAUGUGCCCUAAGGGGACAGAGGUGCUCAAGCUGCACGGCUGCUGGCAGACUUGGCCUUUUUGGUGGGGUGGCUGCCUGGGGAUGGGGUGGUUGAUGUGCUUCUUACCCCCACCUUGUUCCCUACAAGAUUUGAGUUGUCUGUCAGUGUCCUUUAACUCCAAAUCAAAACUGGUUGACAACAUCCAGCAUGUUGUCUCUGCCAUGGUGUGCCAGUGAUGUGUGGGGUCUCUGCCCCAUUUCCCACUAGGAGUCUGCAGGAUCUCAGGAAAGGCAGCAAUACUAAAAAUUCUGGAGGUUGUAGUAUUGGGAUCAACACAAGGGGAAGGACUUGAGACUGAUUCAGGCAAUGUUCAACCCUCUAGAAAUAAUUGGGGCUGUAACAGACUUGCAUGCACGUAGGGAAGGAACGUGAGACACCCACCAAACAGCAGGUCACACCAAGACGGGGAACGGGAGUGCUGGUGGAGCAAGGGCUGCAAGACCUGGUUGAGAGCCAACCCCAUUUCCUCCUACCAGGUCUCUGAUCCCGUGCAGCUCUGGCUGUGACAGCGACACGCAGUCAUGACCACUGAAUCCUCCCUGCUAAUGACAGCCGCGCGGCAGCGCAUCUCACCCCGAGCUGAACCGCGUUAACAAUCUGUUCCCAGCGAGCCAAGAUGUGCCUGCUUAUUUACCAGACUUCAAGCCUCUGGCAAGGUGCCUGCUCAACAUGUAGAUGGGAGCUGUAUUAACUCCAUCAUUGCCACCAACGGGGUGCACAAGCAGUGCUUGGCAAUGCCUCGAGUCCUCCUGUCAUACACAACGGCUACGGCGCAUCCUAAGAGCCAGAGGCUGGCUCUGGAGAGUUGAAAGUACUUUAUGGCUGUGGGGUGGGGAUAGAGGAUUUAGUUUGGCUAGAAUUUCAUUAAAUGAAGGUUAUAUUUACACUGAGAUUCUCAUGAAGGACUUAGGCACUAGUUGUGUAUGCAACAGGUUUCCUCAUAGAGCUGGGCAGCUCUGAUCAUGUUGUGUAGGGUCACUGUAUCCUGGUUCCCCAUAGUCAAAGGAGAGACACAGGCUUUAUGUCCAGUGUACGUGCAGUAAGGUGGAUGCUCCAAUAGCCUGCUCUCUGUAUUGACAGCAGGAAAGGAGAUUCUUACAGCCUUAGAAAGUGGAAAGCCAGAAUCACUUCUCUCUUGAACUAAAACACCAUGGUAUAGCCCUAAAUUAAACACACUCACCACAAUAGGUAGCUUAAUUAUGUUUUGGCAUGUCCAUCACCUUUUUUCUUGUACUUGUAGCUGAACAGUCUCUACAGGCAGAGGGUUGUGUCCAGAUCUACCAAGGUAACAAGUGGCAGGACCUCUGCAGUUCCUGGGCUUAGAGCACCAAAGUCUUUCCAUACCUUGUUUGUCUGACCUUCCGAGGUGACUCCAUACCUCCAGCCCUCCUCACUCGUGAUUUCCUCUCUCCAGACUAGUUAUCCUACAAUGCAAAGAAAAAAUAUUGUUACAUCUGAAUUUCAGUCUGUAUCUCUUUGAAUUUUUCUCCUUGAAUUUAUGAUACCUUCUGAGCACACCUAAAAUGGAAAACAUUGUGGCUCCAUCCAAACCGUCUGCUAGAGAUAGCCUCUGGACUGAAGAGUCCUCUGGACUGAACUUGAGUGUUCUCACACAAAGGGCAUCUUUUAUUUUCUUGAAACUUGAGUCUAAUAUCUGAGCUUGAGGUUUCUGAAAGUACUGAACCAAGGCUGAAGGGCAGAGUCUUGGAUUUCUGUUCCGUGCUGUUUGGAGGGGGAGAUUAACAAGGAUUUGAAUUGCCUGCUCAUGCUUUGCUCCCGGGAAAGUCACUCGGGGAAAUGCUCAGUGCUGUCCCUGUUUCACAGCAGCAGUGAGCUGAACUGCUUGCAAACAGCACUUCUCCUGCCCCUCUGAGCUGGGAACUCAGGAGCAGCAGCAGCAGGGUGUUAAACCACUUGCAAAUAGCAAUUCAUCCCUGAGAGCCCAAGCCUGGGACAAACACUGAGUAAAAUUGUAAUUAAUGCAGUUCCACAUCACUUGACUCCGUGCUCUGCAACAGCGUGUUGGAAACACUGAUUCUUCUCCCCAGUAGGGUGUUGCUUAUUUGAAAAUAUUUCAUAUGCAUUUGUAUGUGUGUGCUUAUACAUAUAUUUUUCUAUAAUAUCUCCUCUGCUCUUUAAGGAUGCAAACCAAAGUUUGAGCAUCUUGUGCCCUUGGCCAUAUGAUGAUUUUGGUACAAGCUUGUAAAAUUUCAUAUUUUACUUUUAAGGUACACAAACAACGUCUUUUGCAUAUGCUUUAGCAUUCCCCUGGUAUAAAAAGGAAUAUAGCAAUUCUAAUGUACAGGUAAAGCCAAAAGUGGGUUUCCUUUGCUCAUCCCUGAAAAAUCAAAAGGAAGUAGUACACUUGACACUCCCAUUCUGUGCAAAUCUUUCCUCAUUUUUUCUGUCUGUUUCUAAGAAGUGUACAUGUAUUAUUAUGUAAAACCCACUUGAGACUCACAGCAGACCCUCCCAUGGUUUGGCUGAUUACUUUCCAGAGGGGAGCAGUAUUUUGUAUGUGUAUAUCCACCAGAAGAAGCUGGUUACUGCCCUCCUUCAUUACAGGUUCAAACCUGCUGUUCUCUGGCACGAGCUUCUCAUUCCUCCGAGUGCGCUUUGUCUUUCAUCUCAUCUGUGCUUUCAAGAACUAAGACUGAUGCUGUUCUUAGGCUUACAUAGCUCUGUUCAUACAGCAGAGUACCAGCUAACAGAGCAUGGAUUUUCAGUACGACACACAGGUGAAGCCCAUGCCUAAGACAAUGACUCUCAAAAAUGCUCCACUGAAUUGUAGCCACCCACAGGGGAAGGAGAAAUAUAUGAAGAAAUAUCCAGUUAAGGCCGUGAUAUGAGUUUGGACAGCAACAGUCGUAGUGAUUGCUUGGAUAGGAGUCUGUCCAGCCUCGUACCCGUACUUUACCACCCCCUUUGGUGCUGGAAGUGCUGUCCAGCUGAAGGAUGACCAUGGAGCAAAUGGAUGGGGCAGCUCCUGGUGUCAUCUGGAUGUUGGUCUGGACAGACAAACCUGCAGAGUUGAGUGUCAGCAGGACUGAGCACCUCUGGCUUCACCCUGUGGUGGCUGGAUUUGUGCCAGCUCGCAGAAACUGGUGGCUUUCAGGGCAUUUCAGGGCAUCCUGUGCUGAGCUGGUACAACCAGCCUUCCUCAUGAUGCUGGGGCUUUGCAUUUGGCCCAUAGAGGGGAGGGCUGGCGGACCUCAGAUUUGUCUGCAUCCAUCUGUGCCCAUUUCCUGAGUGCUGCCUAUGGAAAGUCACUAAGAAAAAAAAAAAAAAAAAGGAAAAAAGAAAGGGGAAUGCUUCUUAUAAUGGAAGCUCUUCUCCCCUCCCCCUGGAAGAGCAACUAUUUCCAGUAAGCGAGAAGGAAGACUAGUCUCUGCCACCAGAGAGUGUUUAGAAGUAAUUGAAUCACUGGAUUAGCUAAUGCAGCAUCCAUUAGGAGUCCAUACCAUUCCCAGAGGACUCUGCAGCCAUAAAGGAAAGCAAGGAAGCCCUGAGUAUUUCAUGAAUGCACAUAAACCUCCUGCUUCCAGGCUAUAAAUUGCUUCCCGCGUGACAUCACAGAGGUGCUGCUGGCGCUCCUCCAUUUCCCUUAGCAUGAGGUCUGAGGUUCUCCAGAUGGGCCCCGAAAGCUGGUUCUCUUCUCUAAGGAGCAGCACCGUCCUCCAGAUGCUACAGGCUUAGCCUGUGCCUCGAAUCCUGGUGGAGGCUAAAGGAGGAGCAGGCUCAGACGAUGGGGCAGAAAUCCGGGCACCAUAGAUGCAUUGCUGAAAAAGGAACAUGAUGUAUGUAACAAUUAAAUACUCAACAGCCUCAUCAGAACCACAAGACACAAAGGCACUGGCAGGACUCAGAAGAUGGUAGCCUCCCUAGAGCACUUUGAAUAAGUUAUGGUACAAGAUUUCCAAAAAUUUUCAGAUUUUCAAAAAUAUCUGUCCCUUGAAAGCUCCUGGAUUUUCAGAUGAUCUCAGUACCCAGCCUGCUGAGCUGUACUGAAAAUGUCUUCCUUUGCAAAACCUCUUUGAAAAUCUAGCAGGUCUCUACUCAGAUAGUGUGAUAUUGUCUCAUGUUAACCAGGUUACCUGGAAAAAGUGGCAGCACAAACUUAAUCUGAAGUCAAGCACAAGAGGAAGUGGUGGGAAGAACAUGGUCCAUGCAGUCCAACGCUUUGCAGAUGUUGUUGCUGUUCUCUGCAUCUGGUUUGAGGCACCAGCUGAAGUCAAAAGCUGGUUGAAGUGGGAACUUUUGGGCACGUUGGUGGGAUAUAUCACUGCUUGGAAGGCACUGGACAUGUAAAGACCAGAAGAGGUUACAGUGGAGAACUAGAUUGCCUGAGAUGCUACAUAAAUGCUGAAUAAAACUGAGAGUGACCUGGGCCUCCAAAUUGCACCUUGACCCGUGUAUAUGCCAAUUCAUAUUUAUCUCUGGAAAAAUACAUGAUACUGCUAGCAUGGAAGGUCCCACCCAUCUAAAUCUGUACUGUAUUUUUGCCUUUGUAAAAUCCAUGUUCUAAAAAGCCUAUCAUAAUCAAAUUGAAAAACAAACAAACAUACAAAAAGGGCACAAAUACUAGCACAUAUAGCAGGUAGGACCAACCUAAGCUUCACCAUCCGCGGCGAGAAUUCUGCCUGAUCAUCCAGGAGGAUUUUUCUCCUUUCUUCUAUCUGAUGAAAACUUCAAGGCUUCAACAGCUGUUGCUCUAAGUGUGUGUAGCUCUUUUUUUUUUUUUUUUUCCUUUUCCCAGUCUGUUCUUUUUGUUUUGUAAUUUCUCUGAAAGACUUGAAAAAUGUCAAUUUUCCAUCAUUUCACAAAGGAGGAGACGAUGUGGCGGAUUCAGAUUCGGAUGCCAUGGUAGCCAUUGUCCCAGGAGACUUGAAAACAUGAUUCUAAGAGAUGUAGGUUGACAAGUACAUUUUAAAUCUUACUGUAUCUUUUCCCUAUUAAUAAAUAAACAAACCGAAAUCUCAAGAGUAACACAGAUGAGAGAAUUGAGUUUAAGAAUACAAAGAUUUUUUUUUCUCCUUUGUAGGACAGAGGCAAAACUACUGGGUAAUAAGCACCCCAGCCACUGACAUUUCAGGUGACUUGGGUGAUUCUCUUUCAUUUUCUCCCUUUUUUUCUUCUUAGCCCAUGUAUUCUUCAAAGACAAGGAUGAAUCUUUCUGCCUGGUGUGCACCCUCGUUGCAGCCCAGCUUUAUGUUGGAAGAAGCUCCAAAUUUCCACCUUUCCUUCUCCAGCACCUCACCCUGGUCUCACCUUCCCCAUGGGAAGAAUUUCUGGCUGC